rnacentral:lncRNA from 1 species
GUAAAUAAUUAUCUAAACAUAAGAACCAUAAAUAAAAUAGCAUGCAAUAAUAUCAUACAGUAACUACCAUAAAUAACUAGCAUAAGGGAGACACAAUCUAAAACACGAAUCAUCUCUAUGACUUCAUCACCUUUAACUCACAAAUUAUCAUAUUUUCUUUUCAGUUUAAGCAAGAAACACAUAACCUUUGAAGAUUUAGAUUUAUUUUAUUUUCUUAAAAAAAUCUAUUUUUCAUCUUUUUGUGUGUGUGGGUGUGUGAUAAUUUUCAAAUUCAUUCUAAAAGAC